AAUAGAUACCCCGGUAGUCCAUGCCGUAAACGUUGGGCGCUAGAUGUGGGGACCAUUCCACGGUUUCCGUGUCGCAGCUAACGCAUUAAGCGCCCCGCCUGGGGAGUACGGCCGCAAGGCUAAAACUCAAAGGAAUUGACGGGGGCCCGCACAAGCGGCGGAGCAUGCGGAUUAAUUCGAUGCAACGCGAAGAACCUUACCAAGGCUUGACAUAUACGAGAACGCUGCAGAAAUGUAGAACUCUUUGGACACUCGUAUACAGGUGGUGCAUGGUUGUCGUCAGCUCGUGUCGUGAGAUGUUGGGUUAAGUCCCGCAACGAGCGCAACCCUCGUUCUAUGUUGCCAGCACGUAAUGGUGGGAACUCAUAGGAGACUGCCGGGGUCAACUCGGAGGAAGGUGGGGAUGACGUCAAAUCAUCAUGCCCCUUAUGUCUUGGGCUUCACGCAUGCUACAAUGGCCGGUACAAAGGGCUGCAAUCCGUAAGGUGGAGCGAAUCCCAAAAAGCCGGUCUCAGUUCGGA
rnacentral:rRNA from 1 species